rfam:Rattus norvegicus chromosome 5, whole genome shotgun sequence.
GGGGAUUUAGCUCAGUGGUAGAGCACUUGCCUAGCAAUCACAAGGCCCUGGGUUCGAUCCUCAGCUCCA